rnacentral:lncRNA from 1 species
GGGUGCAUGGGUGGAUAUUGCAUGGGUGGGGUGCUGCGUGGGUGGGGUAUUGCGUGGAUGGGACGUUGCAUGGGUGGAGUGCUGCAUGGAUGGAUAUUGCAUGCGUGGGGGUUGCAUGGGUGGGGGUGUUGAAUGGGGGGCUUGCAUGGGUGGGGGUUGCAUGGGUGGAUAUUGCACAGGUGGGGUUGCAUGGGUGGGAUGUUGCAUGGGGGCUUGCCUGGGUGGAUAUUGCAUGGGUGGGGGGUUGCACGGGUGGGGGUUGCAUUGGGUGGAAUAUUGCAUGGGUGGGUUUUGCAUGGGUGGAUAUUGCAUGGGUGGGAUGUUGCAUGAGUGGGAUGCUGCAUGGGUGGGGGUUGCAUGGAUGGGAUGUUGCAUGGGUGGGGGUUGCUGGGACGUUGCAUGGGUGGGAUAUUGCAUGGGUGGAUUUUGCAUGGGUGGAUAUUGCAUAAGUGGGGGUUGCAUGGGUGGGAUGCUGCAUGGGUGGAUAUUGCAUGGGUGGGACAGUGCAUGGGUGGAUGUUGCAUGGUGGGACAUUGCAUGGAUGGGAUAUUGCAUGGGUGGAGGUUGCAUGGGUGGGGUUGCAUGGUUGGGAUAUUGUAUGGGUGGAUAUUGCACAGGUGGGGGUUGCAUGAGUGGGAUGUUGCAUGGGUGGGUAUUGCAUGGGUGGGGGUUGCAUGGGUGGGAUGCUGCAUGGAUGGGGUGUUGCAUGGUGGGACAUUGCAUGGGUGGGAUAUUGUAUGGGUGGAUAUUGCACAGGUGGGGGUUGCAUGGGUGGAUGUUGCAUGGAUGGGACAACGCCGCAGUGCAGUAUCGCAUGGCUGGGGAAUUGCACGGCUGGGCUGUCACCCCGGUGCAGCAUUGCAUGCAGGGGAUGUUGCAUGGAUGGGGCAUCGCUCUCACGCAGCACCGCACGGACGGCACACGGCAUGGGUGGGGAACUGCAAGGCUGGGACAUCACUGCCGUGCAGCGCUGCAGGGAUGGAUGGGGUGUUGCACGGACUGGAUGUCAGUGCAGUACUGCAUGGAUGGGGCGCUGCAUCACGCAUGCAAUGUUGCAUGGAUGGGAUGUCACCGUGGUGCGGCAUUGCAUGGAUGGGACGUGGCAUGGGUGGAGCAUUGCAUGGAUGGAGCAAUGCAUGGAUGGGGCACGGCAUGGAUGGAGCAUUGCAUGGAGUGAUGGAGCACUGCAUGGAUGGAUGGAGCAUUGCAUGGAUGGAGCGAUGCAUGCAUGGAGCAUUGCAUGGAUGGAGCAUUGCAUGGAUGGAGCAUUGCAUGGAUGGAGCAAUGCAUGGAUGGAGCAAUGCAUGGAUGGAGCACGGCAUGGAUGGAGCACGGCAUGGAUGGAGCACUGCACGGAUGGAGCAAUGCAUGGGUGGAGCAAUGCAUGCAUGGAGCGCUGCAUGGAUGGGAUGUCACCCCAGGCCUGCACCCCGCUUCCAGCACGGCACUGGGACAGCCCCCCCCAAAACCCCCACGCACCCGGGGCAGAGCCCCCCACCAGGCUGGCCGAUGACCCACACCUCCUCGGGUAGCCCUGCCCAGUUUGGCCCAGUUUGGCCCAGUUUAACCCUGCAGAGCCAGGGCUGCGCCAGCGCUGCCCCAGCGCAUGGGGUGCCACCGGGGUACAGCUGCUCGGAGCGACAUUGGGGUGCCCAUUGGGAUUCCCAUUGGGGUGCUAUUGGGGUACCCAUUCGGGUGUUACUGGGGUGUUAUUGGGGUACCCAUUGGGAUUCCCAUUGCGGUACCCAUUGGGGUGCCCACUGGGAUUCCCAUUAGGGUGUUACUGGGGUGUUAUUGGGGUACCCACUGGGAUGCCCAUUGGGGUGCUAUUGGGAUACCCAUUGGGACGCCCACUGGGGUGAUAUUGAGGUGCUAUGGGGGUGCCAUUGGGAUUCUCAUUGGGGUGCCCAUUGGGGAGCCCAUUGGGAUUCCCAUUGGGGUGCUAUUGGGGUACCCAUUGGGAUUCCCAUUGCGGUACCCAUUGGGGUGCCCACUGGGAUUCCCAUUAGGGUGUUACUGGGGUGUUAUUGGGGUAUCCAUUGGGAUGCCCAUUGGGAUGCCCACUGGGGUGCCACAGGGUGCCAUUGGGAUUCUCAUUGGGGUGCCCAUUGGGGUGCCCAUUGGGAUUCCCAUUGGGAUGCUAUUGGGGUACCCACUGGGGUGUUAUUUGGGGUGCUACUGGGGUUUCCAUUGGGAUGCCCAUUGGGGUGUUACUGCGGUGCUAUUGGGGUGCCAUUGGGAUUCUCAUUGGGGUGCCCAUUGGGAUUCCCAUUGGGGUGCUAUUGGGAUACACACUGGGACGCCUACUGGGGUGUUAUUGGGGUGCUAUGGGGGUGCCAUUGGGAUUCCCAUUGGGGUGCUAUUGGGGUACCCAUUGGGAUUCCCAUUGUGGUACCCAUUGGGGUGCCCACUGGGAUUCCCAUUAGGGUGUUACUGGGGUGUUACUGGGGUAUCCAUUGGGAUACCCAUUGGGAUGCCCACUGGGGUGCCACUGGGGUGCUAUGGGGGUGCCAUUGGGAUUCUCAUUGGGGUGCCCAUUGGGAUUCCCAUUGGGGUGCUAUUGGGGUACCCACUGGGAUGCUAUUGGAGUGCUACUGGGGUACCCUUUGGGCUGCCCAUUGGGGUGCCCCCUUAGGUACCCAUUGGGAUGCCACUGUGUCCCCACAGCGGGGGGACACCCCAGCAUCGCUCCCGUCCCCCCCGGCGCAGGCUGAGCCACGGUGAUGCGGUGACACGGGUCGGCAGCAGCCGUGCCCACGCAGGCAGCGCCAGGCGG